AUUGAACGCUGGCGGCAGGCCUAACACAUGCAAGUCGAGCGGAUGAAGGGAGCUUGCUCCUCGAUUCAGCGGCGGACGGGUGAGUAAUGCCUAGGAAUCUGCCUGGUAGUGGGGGAUAACGUCCGGAAACGGGCGCUAAUACCGCAUACGUCCUGAGGGAGAAAGUGGGGGAUCUUCGGACCUCACGCUAUCAGAUGAGCCUAGGUCGGAUUAGCUAGUUGGUGGGGUAAAGGCCUACCAAGGCGACGAUCCGUAACUGGUCUGAGAGGAUGAUCAGUCACACUGGAACUGAGACACGGUCCAGACUCCUACGGGAGGCAGCAGUGGGGAAUAUUGGACAAUGGGCGAAAGCCUGAUCCAGCCAUGCCGCGUGUGUGAAGAAGGUCUUCGGAUUGUAAAGCACUUUAAGUUGGGAGGAAGGGCAGUAAGUUAAUACCUUGCUGUUUUGACGUUACCAACAGAAUAAGCACCGGCUAACUUCGU
rnacentral:rRNA from 1 species